rnacentral:tRNA from 1 species
ACUUUUUUAGUAUAAAAAUUAUAUUUGACUUCCAAUCAAAAGAUCUUAAACUAAGAAAAAGUA